ensembl:miRNA MIR9823 microRNA mir-9823
UCUCCUUGGUGCUACCAGAACGUCGGGCAUCUGAUACAGAGCAAGAUACUGGGACAGUACCUGCUUAGGAAU